GUUCGGGUGGCCUAAUGGCAAGGCAUUGAUUUCCGGUCCAAAUGGAUAUGUCAAAGAUUGCGGGUUCGAGUCCCGUCCUGAACG